rnacentral:rRNA from 1 species
CUAACGGAGAGUUUGAUUCUGGCUCAGGACGAACGCUGGCGGCGUGCUUAACACAUGCAAGUCGAACGAUGAAGCCCAGCUUGCUGGGUGGAUUAGUGGCGAACGGGUGAGUAAUACGUGAGUAACCUGCCUUUAACUCUGGGAUAAGCCUUGGAAACGAGGUCUAAUACCGGAUACGACCAGUUCCCGCAUGGGAUGCUGGUGGAAAGGGAUAUGUACUGGUUUUAGAUGGGCUCACGGCCUAUCAGCUUGUUGGUGGGGUAAUGGCUCACCAAGGCGACGACGGGUAGCCGGCCUGAGAGGGUGACCGGCCACACUGGGACUGAGACACGGCCCAG